GCAGAUACCAUGCAUGCAUCCAAGCCACCAGCUUCAACCAAAACUGUAAGUGGUAAGAAGGCGGCAGGUAGUGGCUCUAAAAAUAUCCCUAGGACAAGCUCCUCUAAGCCUUCUCUGUCGUUAGAUUCAGGUACUCUUAUGAGCAGUUCAUUAUUUUCUCAAUCUGUUUCUUUCAAGAAGAAAUCAGAUUCCAUACAUGCGUCCAAGCAACCAGCUGCCGCCAAAACUGCAACUGGUAAGAAGGUAGUGGGUAGUGGCUCUAAAAGAAGCCAUGCGACGAGCUCCUCUAAGCCUUCGCUGUUAUUAGAUUCCGGUGCUCCUAUCAUGGGUAGUUCAUUAUUUUCUCAAUCUAUCUCUUUUAAGAAGAAAGCAGAUGCCCCUAAGAGGUUGGUACGCACAUCCAAGCCACCGGCUGCCAGAAAAACUGUAAGUGGUAAAAAGGCAGCAGGCAAUGGCUCUAACAAUAGUCAUACGACAACCUCAUCUAAGCCUUCUUGGUCAUUUGAUUCCGGUGCUCCUACUCCUAGUAUGAAGGAACAAGCUGCCCCUAAGAAACCAGCUGUCCCUAAGAAACAAGCUACUCCUAAGGCCAGUAACUCUAAUUUACAAAUUACAAUGGGUAUUAUUGGUCACUCUUAUGGAACAGAGUUGUCUUCUCCUCUAUUAUUAAUUCAAGCUGCUCAUAGUAAGAAGAAAUCUAAAGCUGCUCCUAGUAAGAUGAAAUCUGAAGCCGCACCUAGUAAGAAGAAAUCUCAAUCUGCCCCGAGUAAGGUGAAAUCUGAGGCGGCCCCUAGUAAGAAGAAAUCUGAAGCUGCGCCUAGAAAGAAGAAAUCUGAAGCUUUCCCAAGUAAGGUGAAAUCUGAGGCGGCCCCUAGUAAGAAGAAAUCUCAAGCUGCGCCUAGAAAGAAGAAAUCUGAAGUUUCCCCGAGUAAGGUGAAAUCUGGGACGGCCCCUAGUAAGAAGAAAUCUGAAGCUGCGCCUAGAAAGAAGAAAUCUGAAGCUGCCCCAAGUAAGGUGAAAUCUGAGGUGGCCCCUAGUAAGAAGAAAUCUCAAGCCGCCCCCAAUAAGAAGAAAUCAGUUUCCCCUAUGAAGCUGCUAAAAGCAAGCAAGUCAUCAACUUCCGCCAAAUCUAAAAGUUGUAAGCAGGAAGCUAGCAGUAGCCCUGACUCUUCAGCAGCAGAGUUGCCUUCUCUAGCUAAUCCUAGUUGUCUUCUCCUCGAGUAUAAAUGAAUACAUUAAAGGUGCUCAAGUGGGAUCCUUGAUCAAAGAUGGAUUUCAAGAUGUUGGUGAAGGUAAGUAAAUUUAGGGUGGCUGGCUUCUAGGGUGAGCGGUUAAACAAGUCCCUCGACCACAUGGGAGAAAAAUGACCUACAAAGCCAGGUGAAUGUUUGUUAAGAUACAUAUGUUUGCUUUUCAUUGUUUGUUUCACUUCUUGCGCUACUAGGUAAGUAAAUUUAGGGUGGCUGGCUUCUAGGGUGAGCGGUUAAACAAGUCCCUCGACCACAUGGGAGAAAAAUGACCUACAAAGCCAGGAACUGUUUCUUUGUGUUGCUCUAAGGCUAGAAUUUGUCAAACCAGUGGAAACUGGAAACCUUAGUCUUCAAGUAUAUUAAACAAUUGUUACAAAUUUCGCAUCUCAUUUUCUUAAACACCUUUUAUCAAUUCAAUCCUUUGAUGAGAAUAAAGUACUCAGAUACUAAUGAAAUGGUCAUAAAUCAUAAUGAUAUUCUACAUUCAAAAUGUCAAGAGUAACACAAUAUCUAUUUGCUAU